AAAGGGGUUGACAUUUGGUGAACAUGCUAAUCUUGUGCUUAACCCUAAUCUUGGAUACAUGUCAAUUAUGAACCAUUUUCUUUGGAAGCUCAUUGUUGGUUUGUGAUCUUUGGGUGUAUGACUUGCACCUUGGUCUUGGAAUCAAGCCAUGAGAACCCUAAUCAAGUACUCGACAUUUGUGAUAUUUGUUCAUGUGAUUUGAAAGUCCUAAUUCAUGCAUCAUGCACAAAUCACAGAAAUGCAGAAGCUCUUCACUCUCAAUCUUCCGUCACACUCAGAAUCUCACAACAAUUCCCGAAAUAAUCCUCAAUCGAUUCUCACAACGUCAAUGAUUUCGUCACUCUUGGAACCUCACGCGUCCAAAUCUCAGAAUUUCGCAACAAUUCAGUAACUCAUAGAGGAAGAAGAAGAGAAGCAAUUCGGAGUCAGUUCAUACUUGUUUGCGAUUGAAGCUCCAAAUCCAGUGAGUUUCUUGGUUUUGAUUCUGUUCUGUUUGAUUUUGCGCGCACAGUGAUAAAUGGAGUCGAGUGUUGGAUGUCGACUUUGGAGAUUCAUUUGAUUUCGGAUCCUUGUUCUUCUUUUUUCGGUCUUAAUUCCAUUAUUGAAGGAGAAGAAAUAAGAUUUAAACGCAACCCACAAACUCUUUUCAAUGCUGCAAAUUAAUUAUUGAUGUGGAUAUUGCAACUCCAGUUCGAUGAAGAUGAUGAUGAAUUCGAAUCAAUUCGGAUUUUGAUGAUGAUUAAGCUGGAAACGAUUUCGUUCAUGCUCGCGUUUGGAUGUUGGAAGUGAAAAAUGAUAUGAUUUUGUGGAGUUUUCUCCUUGUUGUUAAAGCAGGAGAUUCAAGUGUGCUUAUGAGACCGUGGUGUUUUAUGCUGUGUUUUGGCUUGGAUCCAAUUUUUGGCUUGUAGAGUUUGGGCUUGAGGCCCAAAUCCUGUAACUGCACCUCCUUCAGAUAUUUAGCACUUUCGGACUCUUUUGGAAGAAACGAAGCAAAAAGACCUAAAGUUAGGGUUUUUCGGCGAAAUUACACACAUGGCGUUGCACAUGACGGCCGCUAUAGGAGAAGCCAUGAGUCAUCAGCCCUCAACUAGGAGGUAGCCGCCAUGUUCCCAUGAUCCACCCCAUUUACACACAUGGCGGACGCCAUGAAGGGAUGGAGGGCGCCAUCUUUGGAAAUCACGUUCCCACUAAGGAGAAGUUGGAGGGCACCAUGGUCUUUGCAUGCUGCUGAAAUCCUAUAUAAAUAGUUCGUUCCAUUUCACUUUUAAAUCAUCCAACUUAGUUUUACAACACUAAGCAUAUAUUUAUCAUUUGUAAUAGCGGUAAUACGUCACAUCGGGGGGUUAUCGCACCUUAGUGAGAUUGAGUUGAGUCACUUCGAGUUGCUGUCGUCUUUAGCUUCAGGAGUCAGAGGUUUAUUUUUGUACCAGAUUUAAAGCCCUCCAUUCGGAGCAGGUUCUUAUUUAUCGCUUUACUUAUUUAUUUCCCGCAUCACUUUUAUUUUA